rnacentral:rRNA from 1 species
AUUGAACGCUGGCGGCAGGCUCAACACAUGCAAGUCGAGCGGAGAUGAGGUGCUUGCACCUUAUCUUAGCGGCGGACGGGUGAGUAAUGCUUAGGAAUCUGCCUAUUAGUGGGGGACAACAUUCCGAAAGGAAUGCUAAUACCGCAUACGCCCUACGGGGGAAAGCAGGGGAUCUUCGGACCUUGCGCUAAUAGAUGAGCCUAAGUCGGAUUAGCUAGUUGGUGGGGUAAAGGCCUACCAAGGCGACGAUCUGUAGCGGGUCUGAGAGGAUGAUCCGCCACACUGGGACUGAGACACGGCCCAGACUCCUACGGGAGGCAGCAGUGGGGAAUAUUGGACAAUGGGCGGAAGCCUGAUCCAGCCAUGCCGCGUGUGUGAAGAAGGCCUUUUGGUUGUAAAGCACUUUAAGCGAGGAGGAGGCUACCUGGAUUAAUACUCUAGGAUGGUGGACGUUACUCGCAGAAUAAGCACCGGCUAACUCUGUGCCAGCCGCCGCUGUAAUAC